rnacentral:rRNA from 1 species
GAUGAACGCUGGCGGCGUGCCUAAUACAUGCCAGUCGAGCGAACGGACGAGAAGCUUGCUUCUCUGAUGUUAGCGGCGGACGGGUGAGUAACACGUGGAUAACCUACCUAUAAGACUGGGAUAACUUCGGGAAACCGGAGCUAAUACCGGAUGAUAUUUUGAACCGCAUGGUUCAAAAGUGAAAGACGGUCUUGCUGUCACUUAUAGAUGGAUCCGCGCUGCAUUAGCUAGUUGGUAAGGUAAUGGCUUACCAAGGCAACGAUGCAUAGCCGACCUGAGAGGGUGAUCGGCCACACGGGAACUGAGACGCGGACCAGACUCCUGCGGGAGGCAGCAGUAGGGAAUCUGCCGCAAUGGGCGAGAGCCUGACGGAGCAACGCCGCGUGAGUGAUGAAGGUCUUCGGAUCGUAAAACUCUGUUAUGAGGGAAGAACAUAUGUGUAAGUAACUGUGCACAUCUUGACGGUACCUAAUCAGAAAGCCACGGCUAACUACGUG